UGGCUCAGUGGUUAAGAGCACUGGCUGCUCUUUCAGAGAAUCUGGGUUCAAUUCCCAG
rnacentral:tRNA from 1 species